rnacentral:rRNA from 1 species
UACGUAGGGUGCAAGCGUUAAUCGGAAUUAUUGGGCGUAAAGAGCUCGUAGGCGGUGUGUCGCGUCGGAUGUGAAAGCCCGGGGCUUAACUUCGGGUCUGCAUUCGGUACGGGCAUGCUGGAGUUCGGUAGGGGAGACUGGAAUUCCUGGUGUAGCGGUGAAAUGCGCAGAUAUCAGGAGGAACACCGGUGGCGAAGGCGGGUCUCUGGGCCGAUACUGACGCUGAGGAGCGAAAGCGUGGGGAGCGAACAGG